AAAAGGAUGGUAUGGAACAGGAAGAACAAGGGAAGCAGUGAAAGGAACAACACUGAGUAGAUCAGAUCAGGAAACCUACUAAGAUCUAUAGAUCUAUAAAUGUAUGAAAGGGAGAAAAUAAAUAGGACUGGACAAUAAUGCCAGCCUAACCAUAAGAACAAUUCUUGUUCUAUGCCACAGACAUAGUGUACCCAUUGUAAAUCAAGAUAUUCUAACACUAAUCUGAAAAUGAGCAGUGUUGUUGGUAUAUAGAAAUGUCUUGAUGUCAAAUACAGCUGCACCUAGUUUUAGAUCAGAAAUUGAAAACGUUUCAGUUUUGUUCAGAAGAAAUAAAAAAAUGCCCCAUCAAUACAGAUAAAAUACUUAAUUAUGGAAUAGAAGUUGUGAAGUUCUCAGACAUGGGCCAUGAAGAUAUUUUAUGCAUUUGCUCAACUGCUCUCAAUCUUGAAGACUUACUAACAAAGAUAUUAUCUGUACAAGUGGUGAAGGUCCUUCAGAUCCUUUGGAGGAAAAUUAUAUCUAGCGUAGAUUUUAUGUCUAAUCAUUAAAAUAAUGGCAGCAAUGGAUAUAAACAGUUUCAUGAGGUAUAUUAUUCAUAAUUUAGCCAUGGUGCUAGCGCUCAUCUAUCAUCCAUCAGAGGAGACGUCUGCGUCUUAUUUAUGUGUUGGAGCAACAAGCCUCUUAUAGUUGGAAGUGGCUACAUAUUCAGCGUUUUGGGAAAAUUGUAGUUGAUGAUUUUACAGAAGAACGAUUAAUUCAGCACGUUCCAAUGACGCACAACUUUUUAUGAACUGUGUGAUGCUGUGAGAGCUCUGGUGGAGCCAGUUUCACAUCGUCGGAAAAAAACCAAAACAAACCAUGAAGAAGAUUAGUCCAUGCUGUCUUCUUCAUGGCUUUCACUAACAUCUAGCUGUUGGUCCCAUGACUUGUGCACUUUCAAUUACCUUGUAAGCACUUUGAAUUGCUUUGUUGCUGAAAUUGUGCUAUAUAAAUAAAAUUACCUUACUUUGUGUGAUGCAAAAAA